rnacentral:rRNA from 1 species
GCACAAGCAGUGGAGUAUGUGGUUUAAUUCGAAGCAACGCGAAGAACCUUACCAGGUCUUGACAUCCGAUGCAUAGCACAGAGAUGUGUGAAAUCCUUCGGGACAUCGAGACAGGUGGUGCAUGGUUGUCGUCAGCUCGUGUCGUGAGAUGUUGGGUUAAGUCCCGCAACGAGCGCAACCCUUAUUGCCAGUUACUACGUUAAGAGGACUCUGGCGAGACUGCCGUGAUAAA